rnacentral:rRNA from 1 species
UACGUAGGGUGCAAGCGUUAAUCGGAAUUACUGGGCGUAAAGCGUGCGCAGGCGGUUUUGUAAGUCUGUCGUGAAAGCCCCGGGCUCAACCUGGGAAUUGCGAUGGAGACUGCAAGGCUUGAAUCUGGCAGCGGGGGGUAGAAUUCCACGUGUAGCAGUGAAAUGCGUAGAGAUGUGGAGGAACACCGAUGGCGAAGGCAGCCCCCUGGGUCAAGAUUGACGCUCAUGCACGAAAGCGUGGGGAGCAAACAGG